GGGCGGUUAGCUCAGUUGGUAGAGCACUGGACUGAAAAUCCAGGUGUCCGCAGUUCAAAUCUGCGACCGCCCACCA
rnacentral:tRNA from 1 species